UACAGAGGAUGCAAGCGUUAUCCGGAAUGAUUGGGCGUAAAGCGUCUGUAGGUGGCUUUUUAAGUCCGCCGUCAAAUCCCAGGGCUCAACUCUGGACAGGCGGUGGAAACUACCAAGCUGGAGUACGGUAGGGGCAGAGGGAAUUUCCGGUGGAGCGGUGAAAUGCGUAGAUAUCGUUUGGAACGCCAAUGGUGAAAACAGGUUGCUGGGAGUGUGCUGACGCUGAGACACGAAAGCCAGGGGAGCAAACGGG
rnacentral:rRNA from 1 species